CCUACGGGAGGCAGCAGUAGGGAAUAUUGCUCAAUGGGGGAAACCCUGAAGCAGCAACGCCGCGUGGAGGAUGAAGGUUUUCGGAUUGUAAACUUCUUUUGACAGGGAAGAGUAGAAGACGGUACCUGUCGAAUAAGCCACGGCUAACUACGUGCCAGCAGCCGCGGUAAUAAGUAGGUGGCAAGCGUUGUCCGGAUUUACUGGGUGUAAAGGGCGUGUAGCCGGGUUGACAAGUCAGAUGUGAAAUCCUGCGGCUUAACCGCAGAACUGCAUUUGAAACUGUUGAGCUUGAGUACUGGAGAGGCAGACGGAAUUCCUAGUGUAGCGGUGAAAUGCGUAGAUAUUAGGAGGAACACCAGUGGCGAAGGCGGUCUGCUGGACAGCAACUGACGGUGAGGCGCGAAAGCGUGGGGAGCAAACAGGAUUAGAUACCCCUGUAGUC
rnacentral:rRNA from 1 species